rnacentral:rRNA from 2 species
UUUCACUGAAACAAGGGGAAAGCUCAAAUGGGGGAUUGGCCCCGGAGGCAGCAGUAAAGAAUUUUGUGCAAUAUAUGAAGGUAAGACACAGAGAGGGCACCUUGCCUAGUCCGUCAAAUUAAGUGCCAGCAGACGCGGUGAAACUUAAGGGCUAGUUUUGUGGGCAAAAGCGUAAAGGGUGUGAUAGGCCGUUUUAAUUAAAAAGGGUUUUAUAAUUUAAGAAGGUAAAUGGAAUUUUUUUGUAGCGGUGGAAUGUGUAAAUAGAAAAAAGAACUUUAGACGUGAAGACUAUUUAUUUUUGAGAUUAUAGUGUGAUGGCUAAAACACGAGAGUAUGGGGAGCAAACAGGAUUAGGGACCCUGGUAGUCUAUACUGUAAAUAAUGAAAAAGAUGUGAAGCAAUCCUAAAAAGUCAGAAAUUUUCCGCUUGAGUAGUACGACCGCAAGGUUAAAAUUCAAAAAACUUGGCUGUUCACUGUUUUAAUUAGAGGAGCGUGUCGUUUAAUUCGAUAGUCCGCGAGAGACCUUACCCAAACUUGAAUCCUUCAUUGACAGGUAUUGCAUGGCCGUCGUCAAUUUGUGUAUUAAACAUAAAACAGAUUUAACCCAGUGGUUUGUCACUUGGAUGAAGUCAGGUCUUAUUGUCCUAAUGUUUGGGGAUUAGAUGCGCUACAUUUUUUUAUACAAUAGGAAACUUUGAGUGUGAAACCUGAAAAUAAGAGUUCGGAAAGUGCCUGGAAGAUAACGGAAAGUUGUAUUUAAUAGUAAUUGAAAAGUAGAGCGUUUCAAUGAAAUUUUUUCAGUGUUAGUACAAAUUGCCCGUCGCCUUUGCUUAGACAGGUUGGUUGAUUGCCCCUCAAGAGGGUUUCUAAUACCUCCGAGGCAGAGUAAGUCGUAACA